UACAGAGGUCUCGAGCGUUGUUCGGAUUCAUUGGGCGUAAAGGGCGCGUAGGCGGCGGGGUAAGUCUGGUGUGAAAUCUCGGAGCUCAACUCCGAAACUGCACUGGAUACUGCUCUGCUAGAGGGCUGGAGAGGAGAUCGGAAUUCACGGUGUAGCAGUGAAAUGCGUAGAUAUCGUGAGGAAGACCAGUGGCGAAGGCGGAUCUCUGGACAGCUCCUGACGCUGAGGCGCGGAAGGCUAGGGGAGCAAACGGG
rnacentral:rRNA from 1 species